CGGAAAUAUCAAAUUACCCUUAUGAAAUUAAAAAUUUCCAUUGUAUUAUGAGGUAUAAAUAAUUGGAUAAUAUUAUGUGCAUCAACUGUACACAAAAAGUUGUGCACGUAAAAUCCAUGUAUUGCUUACCAAUGAAAAUGUGUAAAACAUUCAAUAAUUUUAGGUCCCGCUCCCUAAUUUCUCUCUUCUUUUAUACCGUGUGCGCAACUUUUUGUGUAUAUUUGGUGUCCCUAGCAUUACUCUAAAUAUUGCCGAAAAUUCAGCCUAAAACGUAGGUGGUUUUGAUGCCAGCCAGAACUCAGCAGCACACCCAACUUGCCUGUCUAGUGUUCAAAUGCCUCCGGAUCAGUACCCUUAUAGUUUGACUAGUAAAUCAAGAGCAUAUGUCAAAGCAUGCUCCUAGAGCUGGUAGUUUGAUACAUAUUAAGUAGUAUAGUCCAUAUUACUACAUAUUAUAAAUAAGAGAGGUCACAUGUCUAUGCAACAACCGCCGUGGUCUAAGGCUUGGGAGUCCAAGCAGUGAAGCACAGUGGCAAACAUGCAAAUCUAAUAUGCUGACCUCCAAAAAGUGAAAUUCAAAAUGCAAUCUUUUUAAUAUUCCUAAUUUAAAGAAAAUAUGGGAAAAUGCAAAAAUAAAAAUAGUAAAACUUUGAUGACCAUCACCCCUACUAACAUGAAAUCAUUGCCAAAAACAGAAACGGUAAAACUUUGAUCCUCGUUUUAUAAAAAAGAAGAGUGCUGCUUGUAUAAAAUAUGCAAGUGCAAAACUCAGUAAUCACACAUUCGGAGUAGUGCGGAGAGGAUAUUAACUGGAGAUGGCUUUUCAAAAGAUAGCAGAAGUUACGCUCAAUAAAGCAUACUAAACAUAGAGCAAAUGCGUUUCAGAUAACUGGCAGUAGAGAAUCUGCAUUCGCAGCUCAGUAAGAUAGUUCAUCACAUUCUCUCAGAGACACUAAGCUUUUACCUGAUAUGAAUUGUUAUUAUCCUUGUGCAGGGGUAGCUGCAUUUUCAGAAAUGCCCUGUAACUGAAAAGAAUGAACACUGACCAAG
rnacentral:lncRNA from 1 species